UAAUGGUACUACUAGUGUUUCACGGUUUUCUCUUAGUAUGUGAACUUAAAAUCGCUUUGGAAAAAGUCACUAUAAAUCAGCACCUUUUCUACUCCAAAUGACUUGCAAAUUAAUUUCUGCAACGCUCUGUCGCUCUCUCUCUCUCUCUCUCGACAGUCGACACCAAGGCUUAUCCUUGUAAUAAACGUAAUGCAAAUGGAAAAUAAAAGAGAACCGUUCCCAGUUUCUCACGGGUGCGUAUAUAAUUUCAAAAUUGUAGUUGUGUCAAGUUUCAAAUCUUUUGAUGGCUUCUAGGUAGGGUUCUACGGAAUUUGCAUAAUUUCUAUUUUUUGAGCCAUUUCUAGCUGAUAUGUACCCGCUUCUCACUGCUUGGUCUCUUUUAUAUAUAUCCCCUCUCUUCCCCUCCUCCAAUUAUUCCCAUCUCUCUCCCUCUGUCUCUCUCUCUGAGGUUCUUAUCUUCUUCAUCCAUGAGGAGGUAGUGGUGCACCACAAGUUGGUGAAGCUGCCAGCAUGAUCUGAUGUACCUCUCUCUGAUUGUAGUCGACGAGGGGAGAGAGGAAGCAUCAGGUCAUGCUGUAGUUUCAUCUGCUGGUGGCAGCACAUUGAAAACCCUAGCUGAUUCAGUUCCGUCUCUCAAUCGAAGGAUAGAGUCGCAUCAAGUUCUUGCAAGAUGGAUGCUGCCCGCGUGCUGAGGAGCUGUGUAAUCACAUAAGGUCAGGUCCAAAUUACAUAAUAGGUGUAUCGCUAAUCGGUCAGAUCGGUAAGUGAUGAGUUCUGUUGGUGUUUCUAUGGAAGGAUCCUAUCGGUUUCUUUUGUUGCUUCGCUUGCUUUCUUUCUUUUGUGCACAAAAACGAAUUUCGAAUUCAUGGGGAUCGAAAUUAUUCUGAUUCUCUCUCUCUCUCUCUCUCUCUCUCUCUCUCUCUCUCUCUCUCUCUCUCUCUCUCUCUCACACACACACACACACACACAGCUAGCACAUCGUCGAAUUGAUGCACACAUGCCGGUAGCAUCUGAUUUUUUUCUUAGUUGCAAUCUUGAGAUGUUGGGAUAGAAAUUUGAUAUGCAUAUAUACAUGAGCUGAUCUAUACUCUAGAUCGAAUGGUACAAGUCUGUGCUUCUUGUCAAUUUCUUUUCUAAGUAUCACAUCUCUUCCUACUAAUAACUGCAGGUUUAAUUUAAUUUCCUUUUGUGGCCGAAGAUCAGCAAAGGAGGAAGUGAAAAACUAGUUUUAAGUGCCCGAUCUAGUAUCUGUGCUUACCCCUAUAUAUUUGUUUUCUUGUUGUAGAUACCAUUUAGAAGGUUCCAGUACCCAUAUUUGUUAUCAGUGUGCCUAUGAUUCACUAUUUAUCUAGUUAACAAUAACUGUGAUGACUGUCAAGUGCCGAUUGUUCAAAAAAAUCAAUAAUUGUGAUGCAAAUAUAUAGAUCUCAUCAUGGUAUCACAAGAAUCCAUAUAACUAACUUGUUGAUCCAUAUAACUAACUUGUUGAUUAAGGAAUCACAAAAAAGUAGGGGGCGGGGGUGAUGAAACUGUGCUUGUUUUCAACGCCCUAAAGAAAAAGGGACGACUUUCAGUGAUGCUUGCUUGCAAGAUAUGCCUACAAGAGUACAGUUGAAUGAUUGCCUCUUCGCUUCAAGGAUGAAAUUGUCCAUCUUUUCACGACCCUUGCAUGAUUGUCCACACUCUUGAGUUUGUACCAUGGGAUAUUCACUCCACCAAAUGUGAAACAAGGACACCCUCUCUCUCUCACUCUCUGAAAUUGGUUGCGAUUUUUGGUAGGCAUCUCUAACCACCGCCCUCUCAUGGCUCAUGCCAUGGCCGGGCAUGGAUCCAAGUACUACUACAUCUGCCACAAUGCAUGCAUGGUCCCUCGGAAGAUUCAUGGGCCACGCAUAUGCACAAAAGCUUGAAUGCAAAGCUCCAAGCCCUCCUUUACGGCGAUUUGGUUGGGCAGCAGUUGCAUAUUGAAGACCUUAUCGAUGACAAACAGGCGGAGUAAUGCAAAACUUGGAGUGGAAUUUCAUUUCAUCAUUGGACCUUAGAUGAUCUUGUUGGGACGACCCAGUCCCUCAAUCUUCUUACCAGUGAUGGUUCGCGAAGGAUCGACCCAUUUCACUCCUCCAACCAAAUCACAGAAGUUUGGUCCGAACUCUGAAGUUGGGGAUCAAACAAACCACAAACACUUGGCGGCCAGCAUAAGCAGUGCUACUGUCUAUGCUGGUGCGAUCUUUUUUUGCAGUUUAAUUCUUUUGCUACGUGGGAAAAUGGUCAACUGGCGCGCCGUAUGCUGGCAUGGGCUGACGUUACACCAUGUGCGGGCAUGGGCACGGGUGCUGGACCAAAGCGAGCGAGCUGUGCGGCAGGCGUCGCGCCACAUGGCGUGCGUGAGCUGUGGGAGAUGUGUGUGUAUAUAUAAAAAUAUACUCUCAGGUAUACAUACUCCGCCUCUAAUAGGUGCUCUGACUCAUCGUCCUCGAGAUCAUGCAUCAGGAGAGGACUGAUAAGAUUUUAAAGGAGCGCUCCGUGCAAUUGCUCGUGAUAUGCUUCCUCGUCGUCAUAGGCUUCUCAUGUGGGAACUGAACAUUCAGCUAGAGCAAUCAGAAUUCAGAAAUGAGAUCAGCAGCUAACAUCAGAGCAGAGCACUUGAGAUUUUCCUGCAGCGACCACGAAUUACAGAUGCUUGUUUGUAUUAUAUUACCAGCACUUGAGAAACAGCACCAACACAGUGCAAAGUGCCCAUGCUGCUUGGUCGGCUGCCACCAGGGCCGACCGAGGAACCGCGUCAGAACUCAGACGAGCCGGUUCCGGCCGUCGACGAUACUGAGGAGGCGCGCCACGCCCUUGGUCCACAUCUCGUACUCCCUC